rnacentral:rRNA from 1 species
UACGGAAGGGGCAAGCGUUGUUCGGAAUCAUUGGGCGUAAAGGGCGCGUAGGUGGUUCUGUAUGUCUACCGUGAAAGCAUACAGCUCAACUGUAUUUUGUCGGUAGAAACUGCAGGACUUGAGGCUGGGAGGGGCUGGUGGAAUUCCCUGUGUAGCGGUGAAAUGCGUAGAGAUGGGGGAGAACACUCGUGGCGAAGGCGGCCAGCUAGACCAGUUCUGACACUGGAGGCGCGACAGCGUGGGGAGCAAACAGG